AAGUCGUAACAAGGUUUCCGUAGGUGAACCUGCGGAAGGAUCAUUAACACUUAUUUUUCUUAAUAUUAUUUUUUUUGUAGAGAAAAAAAUAAUAUUAUCAAAAAACCCCACAAUUUUGGAUGAAUUUCAUUUUUAUUUUGUAUUUUCUAUUUUUUAUAACUAAAAUUAAUAUUUAUUUGGACUAACAUUUUUUAAUUCUUUUUAUGAAAAAUUAAAAAAACAACUCUUAACAACGGAUAUCUUGGCUCUC
rnacentral:misc_RNA from 1 species